rnacentral:ncRNA from 1 species
GAAAUCGCUGAGAUUGGGUUCAGUAGUGGAGAUCUCCCUUUUAUAGAGAGCUGAUGGGUGGUGGAAAUCAGCAUAUAGAUACUCCGUGAAUUACGUCCAUGAGCUUCUUUUUUGAAAAGGUCAACUGAGUAGAAAAAGACGGUUUAACCGUUAGAUUACCGAGUGAGGAUUAUUUGUGUUUUAAUCCUAAGUAGGGUGGUACCGCGAAUAUUUCGCCCCUUCA